rnacentral:rRNA from 1 species
ACGGGGGGAGCAAGCGUUGCUCGGAAUUACUGGGCGUAAAGCGUGUGUAGGCGGCCACGCAAGUCAGAUGUGAAAGCCCUGGGCUCAACCCAGGAAGUGCACCCGAUACUGCGACGGCUUGAGUACCGGAGAGGUUGGUGGAAUUCUCGGUGUAGAGGUGAAAUUCGUAGAUAUCGAGAGGAACACCGGUGGCGAAGGCGGCCAACUGGACGAGUACUGACGCUGAGACACGAAAGCGUGGGGAGCAAACAGGA